CUAUCCUCUCUCCGUCGAAGCCCUCUCCGUCCUAGUCGGGUGUCGUCGUCACCUUCUUCCGCUGGGUGUGAUCUUGCUACCUUAGCGACCAGCACCCACCCUACGCGUGGAACCUUGUGGUCGACCUCCUCGGCAAGAACUUUUCGACGCCAAGUGAAACUCUGUCCACUCCAUGCAAUCCGAGUGCCUUCUCUCCAUGCCUCUUACAAUGGUGAUCUUGAUUUUUAGUACUGCCACAUCUCCAAAGGUGCAUGACCCUUUUCCAUAGCAGAUAAUGGGUGUAGAUUGCACGGCAGAAGAACUUAAGGCAGACCUCUUGUUAUCUAAAAUUUCUUCAAAGAUUGUUUGUGAUCCAAUUGAAGCAAGGAAGUUUUCUGAUCUAAUCUUUGCUUGUGUAGGAGAUUAUGGCGAUGCUGGUUCUCUCUGGAAUUGUUCUGCUGCCAGUUCUUCUAGUGGUUGCAACUGAACCUGCACCAUCUUCCACGGAUAGCAAUAGUGAGGGAAGCUUCAAGAACCUUGACAAAUUGACCAUGGGGCAUGUCAAUGUAAGCUAUGUUGGUCUCUGGAAUUUAUCCUUCAAUGAUUUGUAGGUCAUGUAAAUGUCGCUCGCUGAGGUUGAAACAUUGCUUUCAGCCACAUUAAUACACGAGGUGAUGCAUGCUUUAGAUUUUGACCCUCAUGCCUUUGCACAUUUCCAUGAUGAGUGAAAGAGAUGAAGGCAUAGCCAGGUAUCAAUUUGCAGUUUGUCAUUAUAACUUAUUCCUCUUGUU